ACUGAGACACGGCCCAAACUCCUACGGGAGGCAGCAGUAGGGAAUUUUCGUCAAUGGGGGGAACCCUGAACGAGCAAUGCCGCGUGAGUGAGGAAGGUCUUCGGAUCGUAAAGCUCUGUUGUAAGAGAAAAACGACAUUCAUAGGGAAUGAUGAGUGAGUGAUGGUAUCUUACCAGAAAGUCACGGCUAACUACGUGCCAGCAGCCGCGGUAAUACGUAGGUGGCGAGCGUUAUCCGGAAUGAUUGGGCGUAAAGGGUGCGUAGGUGGCAGAACAAGUCUGGAGUAAAAGGUAUGGGCUCAACCCGUACUGGCUCUGGAAACUGUUCAGCUAGAGAACAGAAGAGGACGGCGGAACUCCAUGUGUAGCGGUAAAAUGCGUAGAUAUAUGGAAGAACACCGGUGGCGAAGGCGGCCGUCUGGUCUGUUGCUGACACUGAAGCACGAAAGCGUGGGGAGCAAAUAGGAUUAGAUACCCUAGUAGUCCACGCCGUAAACGAUGAGAACUAGGUGUUGGGGGAAUAACUCAGUGCCGCAGUUAACGCAAUAAGUUCUCCGCCUGGGGAGUAUGCACGCAAGUGUGAAACUCAAAGGAAUUGACGGGGGCCCGCACAAGCGGUGGAGUAUGUGGUUUAAUUCGAAGCAACGCGAAGAACCUUACCAGGCCUUGACAUCCCUUGCAGAGGUAUAGAGAUAUAUCCGAGGUUAACAAGGAGACAGGUGGUGCAUGGUUGUCGUCAGCUCGUGUCGUGAGAUGUUGGGUUAAGUCCCGCAACGAGCGCAACCCUUGUGAUAUGUUACUAACAUUGAGUUGAGGACUCAUAUCAGACUGCCGGUGAUAAACCGGAGGAAGGUGGGGAUGACGUCAAAUCAUCAUGCCCCUUAUGGCCUGGGCUACACACGUACUACAAUGGCGUCUACAAAGAGCGGCAAGCCUGUGAAGGCAAGCGAAUCUCAUAAAGGACGUCUCAGUUCGGAUUGAAGUCUGCAACCCGACUUCAUGAAGCUGGAAUCGCUAGUAAUCGCGAAUCAGCAUGUCGCGGUGAAUACGUUCUCGGGCCUUGUACACACCGCCCGUCAAACCAUGGGAGUUGGUAAUGCCCGAAGCCGGUGGCAUAACCUUUCGAGGAGUGAGCCGUCGAAGGCAGGACCGAUGACUGGGGUUAAGUCGUAACAAGGUAUCCCUACGGGAACGUGGGGAUG
rnacentral:rRNA from 1 species